rnacentral:rRNA from 1 species
UACGUAGGCAGCAAGCGUUGUUCGGAGUUACUGGGCGUAAAGGGUGUGUAGGCGGUUCUUUAAGUUUGGUGUGAAAUCUCCCGGCUCAACCGGGAGGGUGCGCCGAAAACUGAAGGGCUAGAGUGCGGGAGAGGAGAGUGGAAUUCCUGGUGUAGCGGUGAAAUGCGCAGAUAUCAGGAGGAACACCCGUGGCGAAAGCGGCUCUCUGGGACGGUACUGACGCUGAGACGCGAAAGCGUGGGGAGCAAACAGG